rnacentral:rRNA from 1 species
GACGAACGCUGGCGGCGUGCUUAACACAUGCAAGUCGAACGGAAAGGCCCUGCUUUUGUGGGGUGCUCGAGUAGCGAACGGGUGAGUAACACGUGAGUAACCUGCCCUUGACUUUGGGAUAACUUCAGGAAACUGGGGCUAAUACCGGAUAGGAGCUCCUGCUGCAUGGUGGGGGUUGGAAAGUUUCGGCGGUUGGGGAUGGACUCGCGGCUUAUGAGCUUGUUGGUGGGGUAGUGGCUUACCAAGGCUUUGACGGGUAGCCGGCCUGAGAGGGUGACCGGCCACAUUAGGACUGAGGUACGACCCAGACUCCUACGGGAGGCAACGGGAGGGAAUAUUGCACAAUGGGCGGAAGCCUGAUGCAGCAACGCCGCGUGCGGGAUGACGGCCUUCGGGUUGUAAACCGCUUUCGCCUGUGACGAAGCGUGAGUGACGGUAAUGGGUAAAGAAGCACCGGCUAACUACGUG